rnacentral:misc_RNA from 1 species
GAAAUGCGAUAAGUAGUGUGAAUUGCAGAAUUCAGUGAAUCAUCGAAUCUUUGAACGCACAUUGCGCCCUUUGGUAUUCCUUAGGGCAUGCCUGUUCGAGCGUCAUCUAAACCCUCAAGCCCUGCUUGGUGUUGGGUGCCUGUCCCGCCCCCGUGCGCGGACUCACCUCAAAUCCAUUGGCGGCCCUCGUGCCGGCCCCGAGCGCAGCAGAAACGCGGUCUCGUGGCCCAGCGGAGCGUGCCCCCAGAAGCAACAUUCACCGUUUUGACCUCGGAUCAGGUAGGGAUACCCGCUGAACUUAAGC